UGAGGAAUAUUGGUCAAUGGGCGCAAGCCUGAACCAGCCAAGUAGCGUGAGGGAAGACUGCCCUAUGGGUUGUAAACCUCUUUUGUGCGGGGAUAAAGUGUGGGACGUGUCCCAUAUUGCAGGUACCGCACGAAUAAGGACCGGCUAAUUCCGUGCCAGCAGCCGCGGUAAUACGGAAGGUCCGGGCGUUAUCCGGAUUUAUUGGGUUUAAAGGGAGCGCAGGCCGUCCUUUAAGCGUGCUGUGAAAUGCCGUGGCUCAACCGUGGCACUGCAGCGCGAACUGGAGGACUUGAGUACGCACGAGGUAGGCGGAAUUCGUGGUGUAGCGGUGAAAUGCUUAGAUAUCACGAAGAACUCCGAUUGCGAAGGCAGCUUACCGGAGCGCAACUGACGCUGAGGCUCGAAAGCGCGGGUAUCGAACAGGAUUAGAUACCCUGGUAGUCCGCGCGGUAAACGAUGGAUGCCCGCCGUUGGGUUUUAGAAUUCAGCGGCCAAGCGAAAGCGUUAAGCAUCCCACCUGGGGAGUACGCCGGCAACGGUGAAACUCAAAGGAAUUGACGGGGGCCCGCACAAGCGGAGGAACAUGUGGUUUAAUUCGAUGAUACGCGAGGAACCUUACCCGGGCUUGAAUUGCAGGAGAACGAUCCAGAGAUGGUGAGGCCCUUCGGGGCUCCUGUGAAGGUGCUGCAUGGUUGUCGUCAGCUCGUGCCGUGAGGUGUCGGCUCAAGUGCCAUAACGAGCGCAACCCCUGUCCAUAGUUGCCAUCAGGUCGUGCUGGGCACUCUGUGGAGACUGCCGCCGUAAGGUGUGAGGAAGGUGGGGAUGACGUCAAAUCAGCACGGCCCUUACGUCCGGGGCUACACACGUGUUACAAUGGGGCAUACAGCGAGUUGGAUGUGCGCAAGUACGUCCGGAUCAAUAAAGUGCCUCUCAGUUCGGACUGGGGUCUGCAACCCGACCCCACGAAGCUGGAUUCGCUAGUAAUCGCGCAUCAGCCAUGGCGCGGUGAAUACGUUCCC
rnacentral:rRNA from 1 species